UGGGGAAUAGUGCACAAUGGGGGAAACCCUGAUGCAACGACGCCGCGUGAGCGAAGAAGGCUUUCGAGUCGUAAAGCUCUGUCCUAUGAGAAGAUAAUGACGGUAUCAUAGGAGGAAGCCCUGGCUAAAUACGUGCCAGCAGCCGCGGUAAUACGUAUGGGGCGAGCGUUGUCCGGAAUUAUUGGGCGUAAAGGGUACGUAGGCGGUUUUUUAAGUCAGGUGUCAAAGCGUGGAGCUUAACUCCAUUAAGCACUUGAAACUGAAAGACUUGAGUGAAGGAGAGGAAAGUGGAAUUCCUAGUGUAGCGGUGAAAUGCGUAGAUAUUAGGAGGAAUACCGGUGGCGAAGGCGACUUUCUGGACUUUUACUGACGCUCAGGUACGAAAGCGUGGGGAGCAAACAGG
rnacentral:rRNA from 1 species